AUAUUUACCUGGCAGGGGAGAUACCAUAAUCAUGAAGGUGGUUUCCCAGGGUGAGGCUUACCCAUUGCACUCCAGAUGUGCUGACCUCUGCGAUUUCCCCAAAUGUGAGAAACUCAACUGCAUCAUUUGUGGUAGUGGGGGGCUGCAUUUGUGCUAAA
ensembl:snRNA U1 U1 spliceosomal RNA